rnacentral:rRNA from 1 species
CCUACGGGCGGCAGCAGUGAGGAAUAUUGGGCAAUGGACGCGAGUCUGACCCAGCAACGUAGCGUGAAGGAUGAAUGCCCUAUGGUUUUUAAACUUCUUUUAUAUGGAAGUAAAAUGUUCCACGUGUGGGUUUUUGUAUGUACCAUAUCAAUAAGGAUCGGCUAACUCCGUGCCAGCAGCCGCGGUAAUACGUGGGUUCCGAGGGUUAUCCGGAUUUAUGGGGUUGAAAGGGAGCGCAGUGGGAGGGGUAAGUCAGUUGUGAAAGCUAGCGGCUCAACCGUAAAAUUGCAGUUGAAACUGGCAGUCUUGAGUACAGUAGAGGUGGGCGGAAUUCGUGGUGUAGCGGUGAAAUGCUUAGAUAUAAGGAAGAACUCCGAUGGCGAAGGCAGUUCACUGGACUGCAACUGACACUGAGGCUCGAAAGUGUGGGUAUCAAACAGGAUUAGAUACCCCAGUAGUC